UACAGAGGGUGCAAGCGUUAAUCGGAAUUACUGGGCGUAAAGCGCACGUAGGCGGUUUUUUAAGUCAGAUGUGAAAGCCCUGGGCUCAACCUGGGGAUUGCACUGGAAACUGUUAGACUAGAGAUCGAGAGAGGAAAAUGGAAUUGCGAGUGUAGAGGUGAAAUUCGUAGAUAUUCGCAAGAACACCGGUGGCGAAGGCGGUUUUCUGGCUCGAACCUGACGCUAAGGCGCGAAAGCGUGGGGAGCAAACAGGAUUAGAUACCCCAGUAGU
rnacentral:rRNA from 1 species